AUGAACGCUAGCGGCAGGCUUAACACAUGCAAGUCGAGGGGCAGCAUAAUGGAUAGCAAUAUCUAUGGUGGCGACCGGCGCACGGGUGCGUAACGCGUAUGCAACCUACCUUUAACAGGGGGAUAACACUGAGAAAUUGGUACUAAUACCCCAUAAUAUCAUAGAAGGCAUCUUUUAUGGUUGAAAAUUCCGAUGGUUAGAGAUGGGCAUGCGUUGUAUUAGCUAGUUGGUGGGGUAACGGCUCACCAAGGCGACGAUACAUAGGGGGACUGAGAGGUUAACCCCCCACACUGGUACUGAGACACGGACCAGACUCCUACGGGAGGCAGCAGUGAGGAAUAUUGGUCAAUGGACGCAAGUCUGAACCAGCCAUGCCGCGUGCAGGAUGACGGCUCUAUGAGUUGUAAACUGCUUUUGUACGAGGGUAAACGCAGAUACGUGUAUCUGUCUGAAAGUAUCGUACGAAUAAGGAUCGGCUAACUCCGUGCCAGCAGCCGCGGUAAUACGGAGGAUUCAAGCGUUAUCCGGAUUUAUUGGGUUUAAAGGGUGCGUAGGCGGUUUGAUAAGUUAGAGGUGAAAUUUCGGGGCUCAACCCUGAACGUGCCUCUAAUACUGUUGAGCUAGAGAGUAGUUGCGGUAGGCGGAAUGUAUGGUGUAGCGGUGAAAUGCUUAGAGAUCAUACAGAACACCGAUUGCGAAGGCAGCUUACCAAACUAUAUCUGACGUUGAGGCACGAAAGCGUGGGGAGCAAACAGGAUUAGAUACCCUGGUAGUCCACGCAGUAAACGAUGAUAACUCGUUGUCGGCGAUACACAGUCGGUGACUAAGCGAAAGCGAUAAGUUAUCCACCUGGGGAGUACGUUCGCAAGAAUGAAACUCAAAGGAAUUGACGGGGGCCCGCACAAGCGGUGGAGUAUGUGGUUUAAUUCGAUGAUACGCGAGGAACCUUACCCGGGCUUGAAUUGCAACUGAAUGAUGUGGAGACAUGUCAGCCGCAAGGCAGUUGUGAAGGUGCUGCAUGGUUGUCGUCAGCUCGUGCCGUGAGGUGUCGGGUUAAGUCCCAUAACGAGCGCAACCCCUACCGUUAGUUGCCAUCAGGUGAAGCUGGGCACUCUGGCGGGACUGCCGGUGUAAGCCGAGAGGAAGGUGGGGAUGACGUCAAAUCAGCACGGCCCUUACGUCCGGGGCUACACACGUGUUACAAUGGUAGGUACAGAGGGCAGCUACCCAGCGAUGGGAUGCGAAUCUCGAAAGCCUAUCUCAGUUCGGAUUGGAGGCUGAAACCCGCCUCCAUGAAGUUGGAUUCGCUAGUAAUCGCGCAUCAGCCACGGCGCGGUGAAUACGUUCCCGGGCCUUGUACACACCGCCCGUCAAGCCAUGGGAGCCGGGGGUGCCUGAAGUUCGUGACCGCAAGGAGCGACCUAGGGCAAAACUGGUGACUGGGGCU
rnacentral:rRNA from 1 species